CUCCUUCUUCAAUGCGCCCGCAUUCAAGCCGUUUCCAGCAGCGACAACAUGCGACAUCGACGGCAAGGCUGCAUGGCUCCUUCCAACGUUUUUUGACGCAAGGAGCAAGAGUUACGGGUUCGCGACGUCGACGGAACCAGCCUCUAUAAUGAAGGCAUUGCAGGACAGACUUGCCAGUGGGCACGGCGAAAACGCUGGGAGCAGAUCACCGACCAUGCGUCUCGUUUUUCUUGUUCAGGUGAACCACUCUCAAGGACUCGCCCCACAGCCUUGUCAAAAGCAGCCUGGCGAAGACUGCUGAAUAACUCUCCACGGCGCUUCACCGCAACCUGCAGUGUACGGCUACGUGACCGCGAAUAACAUUCGGCAAGGAAUAAAAUUCAACCGGUUUUGCGUUCUCAGGCUCA